rnacentral:lncRNA from 1 species
CCUUAGUAAUAGUUUGAAAAAAGUCUUUGUUUUCUCCUUCACCACCUUCAAUAUAAGAUCUAAUUUCUUUCAUGUACAAAGACUUGGCCCUUCUAUUGAAGUCUUCUAUUGCUCUUUCAUUUCUUUUUUUUUAAAUUAGUCCCUUGCAUUGAUAAAGAUGACAUAGAAGCCAAAGUAGAAGCUUUCUUAAGCCAUACUACAACUCUUUUAGCUUGUAUUUUUUGUUGUCUUCCUAAAAUAACCACUAUUUUUUUCAACUUCUUUAAAUUAUUGGUACAACCACUCUCUGUAGACUCAUCUAUAAGAAGCAUGAAAAGCUUAUCUUCUAAAUCAUCAUCAACACCAUUUAAAAACAACUCUACCUUUAUAGCAUCCAAUGACCGCCUCUUUGAGGAUGAAAUUUGAUCAAAUCUCCUUUCAAAUUCUUCGAAGAACUCAUAAAGAUCCAUAUGCUUACUUAGUUGUAAUUCUAUUCAAUCCAAAAACUUUUUUUUGAUAAUCCUAUUCUCAUCUCCAUCAAUAAAUUCUUCUUUCAAAAG